GUAUCCUGGCUCAGGAUGAACGCUAGCGACAGGCUUAACACAUGCAAGUCGAGGGCAGCGGGUGUAGCAAUACACCGCCGGCGACCGGCGCACGGGUGAGUAACGCGUAUGCAACUUGCCUAUCAGAGGGGGAUAACCCGGCGAAAGUCGGACUAAUACCGCAUGAAGCAGGGAUCCCGCAUGGGAAUAUUUGCUAAAGAUUCAUCGCUGAUAGAUAGGCAUGCGUUCCA
rnacentral:rRNA from 1 species